rnacentral:rRNA from 1 species
GACGAACGCUGGCGGCGUGCCUAACACAUGCAAGUCGAACGGAACUGUUUUGAAAGAUUUCUUCGGAAUGAAUUUGAUUUAGUUUAGUGGCGGACGGGUGAGUAACGCGUGAGUAACCUGCCUUCAAGAGGGGAAUAACAUUCUGAAAAGAAUGCUAAUACCGCAUGACAUAUCGGAACCACAUGGUUUUGAUAUCAAAGAUUUUAUCGCUUGAAGAUGGACUCGCGUCCGAUUAGUUAGUUGGUGAGGUAACGGCUCACCAAGACCGCGAUCGGUAGCCGGACUGAGAGGUUGAACGGCCACAUUGGGACUGAGACACGGCCCAGACUCCUACGGGAGGCAGCAGUGGGGGAUAUUGCGCAAUGGGGGCAACCCUGACGCAGCAACGCCGCGUGAAGGAUGAAGGUUUUCGGAUUGUAAACUUCUUUUAUUAAGGACGAAAAAUGACGGUACUUAAUGAAUAAGCACCGGCUAACUACGUG